rnacentral:rRNA from 1 species
UACGUGGGGUGCGAGCGUUGUCCGGAAUUAUUGGGCGUAAAGGGCUCGUAGGCGGUUUGUCGCGUCGGGAGUGAAAACCCAGGGCUUAACUCUGGGCUUGCUUUCGAUACGGGCAGACUAGAGGUAUGCAGGGGAGAACGGAAUUCCUGGUGUAGCGGUGAAAUGCGCAGAUAUCAGGAGGAACACCGGUGGCGAAGGCGGUUCUCUGGGCAUGACCUGACGCUGAGGAGCGAAAGUGUGGGGAGCGAACAGG